GGUUUACCAGGAAGCCCAGGUCCAAAAGGUGGAGCUGGAGAGAAGGGUAAUGCUGGACAAUCAGGACUCAUUGGUACUAUGGGAUCUGAAGGUAAAGCGGGUGAGCGUGGAGAACAAGGAGAAGUCGGACCCAUUGGGUCUAUUGGACAGCCUGGAGAACGGGGAGAACAGGGGCCACCUGGGCCGAUGGGAAAACCAGGAGCCAGAG